rnacentral:tRNA from 3 species
GGCCGCCUGGCGAAAUGGCAUCGCGUCUGACUACGACUACGUGAUCAGGAGAUUGCAGGUUCGACCCCUGCGGUGGUCA